UACGUAGGGUGCAAGCGUUAAUCGGAAUUACUGGGCGUAAAGCGUGCGCAGGCGGUGAUGUAAGACAGAUGUGAAAUCCCCGGGCUCAACCUGGGAACUGCAUUUGUGACUGCAUCGCUGGAGUGCGGCAGAGGGAGAUGGAAUUCCGCGUGUAGCAGUGAAAUGCGUAGAUAUGCGGAGGAACACCGAUGGCGAAGGCAAUCCCCUGGGCCUGCACUGACGCUCAUGCACGAAAGCGUGGGGAGCAAACAGG
rnacentral:rRNA from 1 species